rnacentral:rRNA from 1 species
AUGAAGGAAAAGAGCCAGAGCGGCGCUUGGAUAAAAGUCAGUGCUGGAAUUUGUUUGGAAUAUGCGGAAAUCUUGGUAAAGGAUAAGGACGCACACGGCGGUGAGGUUAGUAGGGGCGUAACAAACGAGAAGGGCGGGCGUGGCAAUGGCCAUUCAUGUGUCAGACGAAAAUUGUACACCCACAUGUGUGACGAGGCUGGACUUGACAUAUGCAUCAACGAGCAUGGUGAUGAGGUGAGAGUUGGAAGCGCGGAUGUACUUGACAAGGAGCAAGUAGAUGCGAGCAAGCAUGGUGGGCAAUGUCGACGAUGUUCACGCGAAUGA